GAAAACUAGUAUAGCUAGACUUUAGCUUUCUGUCUAUUGGCUUUUACUGUACAAAUUUGACAUGCCCUGGGCUUGACAAUCAGAAUCCUGCUGAAACACGAGGUUAAGAGUGCAAUUCAAACCCAUCUUGUACUCCUGGGUUAGCCGCACUGCUGAUGUCAUGUCAUGAGUGCCGUAGCCAGAAAGGUCAGGUGUUGCCAAUAGCGACCCACCUUUUGCAUGCCGAGCCCCUGUUCUGCUUCAGGUGAGAGAGGAUUUCAGUGCUUUUUUCUUCUUGCUUUCCUAAUCUAGAAACUGUUCAGUGCCAGGUUUAACCUGAUACUUCAGAACCUGCCCGUACUAUCAUAUCAGUGAUUCAUGCUAUUUUCGUAACUCAAUGGAAUAUUUUGCCUUCCUUCUGUGUAAAAAAAGAAUGUGUCAUUGAUUCCUCCUCAAGCAAGCAGGUGCUUUUGUUAUAGAAAGGUGCUGCUGAGAUGAGCUAAUAUUAAGAAUUAUUUCUCUUUCUUCCUUUCUCUCGCUUUCUCUCUUUCUUUCUUUCAUUCAUUCCAGCAUACAGUGUUUCCUUCAUCCUGUCCUUUUUAAUCUCUGUGUAUUACAGCAAAAAGGUAUAUGCAGUCUUUAAACAACAGGAAUGCUGGACUGGCCCAGUGCCAGGCAAGCCUCAGCGAACAGGAUAACAUUUCAAUUUAGAAUUAUGGGAAGUUGCUGGUGCUGGGAGUAAAAUUCUGGUUUGGUGAGUUUAGGGGCAGGGAGUUUACAAAGAGACAACCUUGUGAGGCAAACACAAGGAAGCAGAAGGACAGAGAGGAGACUAAACAAGAUUUCCCACACAUACAUUUACAAUUACAGUUUGGGUUACUUUAACCUGGCUGGUUUUUUUUUUUUUGUUUGUUUUUUGUUUUGUUUGUCGUUGUCAUUAUUGCUUUUUCUUUCUUAUGACCAAGCAGAUGUGUGUACUUCAUUCAGAUUUUGAGGAGAGUAAUACAUCAGGUUUUAAAAGGCGAGCUUAUUAGUUUUCUCUCCUCUCUGCCAGUGUGCCUUAAAAACAAAUUUUCAGCACAGUGGAAUGUGCAGCUUAUGUCAGUGAGAGUCAGGUAUUUUAGCUCAACUAAAACCAAUUACCAGCUUUUCCCCAAGCCAUUUUUUUUCUGCAUUGCUUGGGUGAGUGCGAGAACCAGAAGCGACUGUGUCUAAAAGUCUUGUGAGGUCUCCUGCUGUAAAUAGCAUUUAAGGGAGUUGCUGGACACUCCUUGUCAAGUUUAACCUUGAUAAAAUAAGAAGAUGCAAUUGUGUGAUCCCAAAAGCCUCAGCUUUGCUCAGUAAAUGGUGUCAGAAGCCCUGCGAAUCCACGUCAGAGUACAGAAACUUAAUGCCCCCUCACAGAUAUGAGGUAAGGGGAUUGUCACAAGGAAAGAGCACCACCCCCUUCACACUGUGUAAACAGGUUAGUACCGUAACACCCUGGAACUUGUGGUUGGUUGUAGAGACUGAGAGGAAGGUGAAACAGUAAGUGGAGAUUUCCCAGCAGAUCACAGCCCUGUCAGCACAGGCACAUUUUCCAAUUUCAGUUGUUUCUUAGGAUUGAUGAUUGGAUAGGGGUAGACAUAGAAAUGAACAUGGGGUAAUAUUUAUGCUGCCUCUCUGUUGUAUACUGGAUGUACAGUACAUAGUAUAUAUCUUCAUAUGAUUUCACUGGUUAAUGCUAACAAAAAUGAUAGAAUAAACAUACUGCACAGGAAAGGUUUGAUGAAGUCAUUGAGAUGGAUGAAAUGCCAGUCGCUCUUGAUGACAUCUUUAAGUUUUAAACGUGGAAGACUGUAUGCAUGUUUAUUCUUGGCAUUCAGCAAUAGACUCUGAAGAUCAUUGGUACAUUACUUGCUAAACAUGCAUCUGCUCUCUAAUAAAUACUGUGUUUUAUUUCAAUUUAAAGAAGUUUUUAAAAUACAAGUCCUGUUAGAGAUAUGGACAUCGCCAUCUUGAAUUUAAAGACAAUAUAAGAUGAGUUUGGAAGUCUUGCAGAUUUUGUACGUUUUUUAUGAUAUCAUUUCAAAAUGCAUGCAAUAUAAAGAAAGAAACGUUACAAUGAGUUUCAUUAUUAUCACUUAAUAUAA